rnacentral:rRNA from 1 species
UGGGGAAUUUUGCGCAAUGGGGGAAACCCUGACGCAGCAACGCCGCGUGAGUGAUGAAGGCCUUCGGGUCGUAAAGCUCUUUCAGUGGGAAAGAAGUGUAUAAUGGCUAAUAUCCAUGAUACUUGACGGUACCCACAAAGGAAGCACCGGCUAACUCCGUGCCAGCAGCCGCGGUAAUACGGAGGGUGCGAGCGUUGUUCGGAAUUAUUGGGCGUAAAGCGCGUGUAGGCGGCUCCUUAAGUCUGAUGUGAAAGCCCCGGGCUCAACCUGGGAAGUGCAUUGGAAACUGGGGAACUUGAAUACUGGAGAGGGUAGUGGAAUUCCUGGUGUAGGAGUGAAAUCCGUAGAUAUCAGGAGGAACACCGGUGGCGAAGGCGGCUACCUGGACCGAUAUUGACGCUGAGACGCGAAAGCGUGGGGAGCAAACAGG